rnacentral:rRNA from 1 species
AUUGAACGCUGGCGGCAUGCCUUACACAUGCAAGUCGAACGGCAGCACGGGAGCAAUCCUGGUGGCGAGUGGCGAACGGGUGAGUAAUAUAUCGGAACGUGCCCAGUCGUGGGGGAUAACGUAGCGAAAGCUACGCUAAUACCGCAUACGAUCUAUGGAUGAAAGCGGGGGAUCGCAAGACCUCGCGCGAUUGGAGCGGCCGAUAUCAGAUUAGGUAGUUGGUGAGGUAAAGGCUCACCAAGCCGACGAUCUGUAGCUGGUCUGAGAGGACGACCAGCCACACUGGGACUGAGACACGGCCCAGACUCCUACGGGAGGCAGCAGUGGGGAAUUUUGGACAAUGGCGCAAGCCUGAUCCAGCAAUGCCGCGUGCAGGAUGAAGGCCUCGGUUGGUU